rnacentral:rRNA from 1 species
GAUGAACGCUAGCGGCAGGCUUAAUACAUGCAAGUCGAGGGGCAUCAAGGUACACGAAAGUGUAUUGUUGGCGACCGGCGGACGGGUGAGUAAUAGGUAGGUAACCUACCUCAUACUGAGGCAUAGCUGGGAGAAAUUCCAGGUAAUUCCUCAUGAGGUUAUAUGACACAUGUGAUAUAAUCAAAGGUAUCGCAAGGUACUGGUAUGAGAUGGGCUUACUGACCAUUAGCUAGUUGGUGAGAUAAGAGCUCACCAAGGCGAAGAUGGUUAGGGGUUUUGAGAGAGAGAUCCCCCACAUUGGAACUGAGAUACGGUCCAGACUCCUACGGGAGGCAGCAGUAGGGAAUAUUGGGCAAUGGGCGGAAGCCUGACCCAGCCAUGCCGCGUGAAGGAAGACAGCCUUAUGGGUUGUAAACUUCUUUACUAUGCGACUAACUAGAUUUACGAGAUAAUUCUAUAGAAUGUAGCAUAGCAAAAAGCAACCC